AGCACAGGAGAGCUCUGCUCUCGGGUGACGAGCGGCGGACGGGUGAGUAAUGUCUGGGAAACUGCCUGAUGGAGGGGGAUAACUACUGGAAACGGUAGCUAAUACCGCAUAACGUCGCAAGACCAAAGUGGGGGACCUUCGGGCCUCAUGCCAUCAGAUGUGCCCAGAUGGGAUUAGCUUGUAGGUGAGGUAACGGCUCACCUAGGCGACGAUCCCUAGCUGGUCUGAGAGGAUGACCAGCCACACUGGAACUGAGACACGGUCCAGACUCCUACGGGAGGCAGCAGUGGGGAAUAUUGCACAAUGGGCGCAAGCCUGAUGCAGCCAUGCCGCGUGUAUGAAGAAGGCCUUCGGGUUGUAAAGUACUUUCAGCGAGGAGGAAGGCGAUAAGGUUAAUAACCUUGGGGAUUGACGUUACUCGCAGAAGAAGCACCGGCUAACUCCGUGCCAGCAGCCGCGGUAAUACGGAGGGUGCAAGCGUUAAUCGGAAUUACUGGGCGUAAAGCGCACGCAGGCGGUCUGUUAAGUCAGAUGUGAAAUCCCCGGGCUCAACCUGGGAACUGCAUUUGAAACUGGCAGGCUAGAGUCUUGUAGAGGGGGGUAGAAUUCCAGGUGUAGCGGUGAAAUGCGUAGAGAUCUGGAGGAAUACCGGUGGCGAAGGCGGCCCCCUGGAC
rnacentral:rRNA from 1 species